UUAGUAAUUAGAUACGGCCCAAUGUCCUACGGGAUGCAGCAGUAGGGAAUCUUCCACAAUGGACGCAAGUCUGAUGGAGCAACGCCGCGUGAGUGAAGAAGGCUUUCGGGUCGUAAAACUCUGUUGUUGGAGAAGAAUGGUCGGCAGAGUAACUGUUGUCGGCGUGACGGUAUCCAACCAGAAAGCCACGGCUAACUACGUGCCAGCAGCCGCGGUAAUACGUAGGUGGCAAGCGUUAUCCGGAUUUAUUGGGCGUAAAGCGAGCGCAGGCGGUUUUUUAAGUCUGAUGUGAAAGCCCUCGGCUUAACCGAGGAAGCGCAUCGGAAACUGGGAAACUUGAGUGCAGAAGAGGACAGUGGAACUCCAUGUGUAGCGGUGAAAUGCGUAGAUAUAUGGAAGAACACCAGUGGCGAAGGCGGCUGUCUGGUCUGUAACUGACGCUGAGGCUCGAAAGCAUGGGUAGCGAACAGGAUUAGAUACCCUAGUAGUCCUUGCCGUAAGCGAUGGAGGCCACCAGAUGGAGCAGU
rnacentral:rRNA from 1 species